rnacentral:rRNA from 1 species
AAGCGGCAAAAGCUCAAAUUUGAAAUCUGGCUCUUUCAGGGUCCGAGUUGUAAUUUGUAGAAGAUGCUUUGGGUGUGGCUCUGGUUUAAGUUCUUUGGAAUAUUACAUCAUAGAGGGUGAGAAUCCCGUAUGUGACCAGUCGCCGCGCCCGUGUAAAGCUCUUUCAACGAGUCGAGUUGUUUGGGAAUGCAGCUCAAAAUGGGAGGUAUAUUUCUUCUAAAGCUAAAUAUUGGCCAGAGACCGAUAGCGCACAAGUAGAGUGAUCGAAAGAUGAAAAGCACUUUGGAAAGAGAGUUAAACAGUACGUGAAAUUGUUGAAAGGGAAGCGCUUGCAACCAGACUUGCACGCAGUUGAUCAUCCGGUGUUCUCACCGGGGCACUCUGCUGCGUUCAGGCCAGCAUCGGUUUUGGUGGUUGGAUAAAGGCCUUGGGAAUGUAGCUUCUUUCGGGGAGUGUUAUAGCCCUUGGUGCAAUGCAGCCUACCGGGACCGAGGACCGCGCUUCGGCUAGGAUGCUGGCGUAAUGGUUGUAAGCGGCCCGUCUUGA